AGCGAACGCUGGCGGCAGGCCUAACACAUGCAAGUCGAACGAAGUCUUCGGACUUAGUGGCGGACGGGUGAGUAACACGUGGGAACGUACCUUUUGGUUCGGAACAACUCAGGGAAACUUGAGCUAAUACCGGAUGAGCCCUUAGGGGGAAAGAUUUAUCGCCGAAAGAGCGGCCCGCGUUAGAUUAGCUAGUUGGUGAGGUAAAGGCUCACCAAGGCUACGACCUAUAGCUGGUCUGAGAGGAUGAUCAGCCACACUGGGACUGAGACACGGCCCAGACUCCUACGGGAGGCAGCAGUGGGGAAUCUUGCGCAAUGGGCGAAAGCCUGACGCAGCCAUGCCGCGUGAAUGAUGAAGGUCUUAGGAUUGUAAAAUUCUUUUACCAGGGACGAUAAUGACGGUACCUGGAGAAAAAGCCCCGGCUAACUACGUGCCAGCCGCCGCAGUAAUAC
rnacentral:rRNA from 1 species